CAAACCCCUUGUGAACACUUAAAACAAUGUAACCGUACUACUAUAGGCAACGAUUGAGAAGAUGGCGGAAACUGAGGUUUUGUUUUAAACUGCUAGUGAGUCAGGUGAAGCUAAUAGUACAGGAAGUGAGAAUGAGUGGGUUACAGUGGUGAAGAAAAAGGGAAACGAGAAGUAAAAGCUGUGUUGGAAAAUAGGAAACCACUAGACUCGAAUUUAGUCGGAGUGAGGGUUUUGGAUCAGUGCUAUUUGGGAAAUCCGUUUAUCGUCUCCAGGGAAAAUGUGGAAUGUGUUGGAGGAAAGUGUGUCGGUGAGAGUCACAAGAAGUGGUCUUAUUUAUAUUUGGUGUGUGUCUGCGGAGCAGAAGAAGCGUGUUUUAAGACUCAAAAAGAUAUCGGAGUGGAAUGUUUCCUGUGGGGAUUUUUAAAGCAGGGUGUCGAUCAAGGGGGUUAUUUUCUGGGAUGGAGCAAGAAAUAAAGGCAAAGUAUAUAACUGAAGACAUCGAUGGAGUGGUUGGUGCAUGUUGACUGACCUGUAUGGUGGACGGAGGAAAGAAAUUCACUUCAUCCAUGCUACUGUUCUUUGAUGAAGAGUCUCUUCCGUCUCAUAUAAAGUUAGGAUUCAUGAGAUACCCUGUAAGAGCUUUCGUGAACAAGCCCCUUCAGUGUCAUAAAUGUAAAAGAUCAUGUGUCAAGUGAGUGCAGAAGGGACGAGUAUCGUAUGCCAGAUGAAGUGAAACGUUGCAACUGUGGAGGUGAACAUCCGCCCCGAAUCCUAGGACUGCCCUUUUAGGAUGAAGGAGAAUGAUGGUGGCAAUGGUAAGAAGUGUCCAGCUUAUCUCUUAUCUGGAGUCGGUGAGAAGAUGGGAUGGAACGAGUGGCGGGGAAGAAGCAAUGGUAGUAGAGCCACCACGACCAGUGAAGAGAUCAGCUGAGGGAUAGUGAAAUACUACGUGUUAAAAAGGUGGACUUUGUAUGAUUUUUUUGCAAUGGUCAUAAACUGUACAGCACAAGCAGAGAAUAAGUCUAAGAAAAUGUGAAUCAUUGUGAAUUCCGCUGAACGUUUUUUGGGGUCUUCAUGAUUUCACAGCCGAGGCUGUGCAAAAAAUCCUGUUGGGUGAAUGUACUGCCAUCACAGGCCACUGAGCUUGUGUAGGGAUGUAUUUUGGAGUGGACUGUGAUUGAAGAAGUGGGAUGGGUUUUCUUAGUUGACGUGUUUUAUUUUGUAUGAUGUCGUUUUUUCUCUUUCCCGCAAUGUUUUUUUUAGUUUCUUAUUCAUUACCCUGUCCAGCUGGUGGCGGUAAUGCACCGUUAACAUUGGAUGCCAACCGCCGUUAAACCCGAUCUAAGAAUAAGUUAGAGAGAGCUAGCAUUUACCUGUUAGCUGUUUCAAAAAAAGAACAAGCAGACACUCCAGGAAGAGUUUUUGCAGCAGUGCAUAAAGUUGAUCAUCUAAGUGAUGAAUGUAAAAGACGUAAAGAAGAAAAGCUAAGAAUGCAUACAGAUGUAUACCGUCAGAAGUGUGAUUCUGGAGAAUCACUGGGUGCUGAAUUCACCAUGUUUGAAAUAGAGAGGGCUUUGGAGGUGUGGUUGGACUGCUCCAGGUGAAGUUUGAUUAUGCUACAUUAUUUUUAAACAUCUUCCUUCAGAAGUUUGGGGAAAGAUUUUGAGUUUAUUUAACAAAUUAUGGACGACAGAAGUGCUACCAUCAGGUUUGAAGCGUGUUGUGGUGUUGCCUUUUGUGAAGCCUGGUAAAGAUCAAUCCAGUCCUGGCAGUUAUAGACCUAUUGCUCUAACACCAAAUCUCUGUAUAUUAUCUCUAUAUAUUAAUGGACAAGUUGAUUGUAGGUAGAUUGAUGUAUUAUCUGGAACAUAGGGUCCAUACCAGAGUGGAUUCAGAAAAGGAAGGACUACUCUUGAUGCAUUGGUUAAAGUUAGUACUGAGCUGAACAAAGCUUUGGCAAUGCCUUCAGUGAUGUUUGGACAUUGGAAACGCAUCUGAUACAAUGUUAUGGGAAGGUCUACUGAUGAAAUUUUCCCUCAAAAUUGUGACAUUGUGUGUGAUCUUGUGUUGUGUGACAAAACUGCACAAUUGUGACCCAUUUCAAGAAACUAGGCAUAUGUCACACCUCACUACUUCACAGAAGAGGCAUUUAAAAUUUUUAAAAAAAUGGAAGGCAGAAAUGCCUUCUGGAACAUGUGAACUUUCAUGUGACAUAAUAACAAACUUGUAUGUCAUCUGUAAAAAUGAAUAAAAUAGUUAAAUUAUGAGCCUAGUUGGUUUAGCCACGGAAAAAUAUAGGAACCUUCCCGCUAGCCAUCAUUGGUUGAGAUAAUGGAUGGGCUGGACUUGCCGAAAGAUGAGUUUGGAUUGGUCUGCCAUGUAGCGUGCUUCUGUCUAUAACAUUAGCUGCUAAGUAUGUGUGGAUAGUCAUGUCUACUGCAGCUUUUAAAAAAAGAUAUCAUGAAGAACUGAACAAGUUUUGCUACUGCAGUCGGUGAGUUUAAUCGUCUGAACAUGAAAACAGAAACAAUACUGCCUGAAGGGUGAUACAACAGAGUGCUAGAUAAAGGGGAAGUAAUCAGGGAAGUGAUUAAGUCUAGGUAUGCCUAAUGAUGGGGCGCAGGUGUACAUAAUGAUGUUUGCCAGGUGUGCGUAAUGAUGGGUUGCCAGGACCGGUGGUUAGCAAACUGGCGAGGUCGAGCGGGAGUAGACAAGACAGGCUGUUGUAUAAAACACCUGGAUUACAUCUUCAAACUAAGGGCAACCAUGGGAUCCAUGACAGAGGGGGAAGCGUUCAUCCAUGCAUACGGGUAAAGAGUCUAGAUACAUUUUCAGAUGUUAUGCGUUUCUAAUUUUUUCAAAGUCGUUUUCAUUGCCUAGUCGGAGUUUUUGUUUUCACAGAGUUCCCCAUUGUUUGAACAGAGCAUUAGAGUUGCUAGCUGUAUGUCUAAACAAAACCAUUUAACUGAACUGCUCACACCUUCUAUAUCCUUUGCAUGUGACAAAUAAACACUGGGAAAUGGGUGGUGUUUACCAGAAACGGUAAUGUGAAGAACCUGCACCAAAGUCAGAUUAGGAUAUAGGCCAUGGACUAGAUCAAGUUUAUUUUUACUAUUAUUUUUUUUCUACUACUUUAGUCUUAAACUUUGGUUGUUUACUACACUCUGAAUCCUUAAAGAGAUGGGAGGGGCUAAGGCUUAAGAGGGUGUGAACGAUGCUGAAUGGGUGUAGAUAAAGAAGAGCUAUCCAGUUAAGUGUACCAAAACAUUCAUAGGACAUUUUCUCAAAAGUGGGCUUACAAGUUUAUCAACUUUCAAAGCAGCAUUACUUUCUCAUUGUUCCAUAACUGCAGUGUAUGAUGUACCAUUUUCUAGCUCAGAGUCUGUACUUUUUUCAAAUGUUGCUACAAAAGACCAAAUCGUCGGUCACAUUUGAUUUAUUUUCCCCACAAGGUGCACCUGUGUAAUGAUCAUGCUGUUUAAUCAGCUUCUUUCUAUGCCACACCUGUCAGGUGGAUGGAUUAUCUUGUAACAGUGAUGCAAAAAAAAUUGCGAUAAGCUUUGUGUGCAUAUGGAUCUUUUAUUUCAGCUCAUGAAACAUGGGACCAGCACUUUACAUGUUGCGUUUAUAUUUUUUGUUCAGUGUAUAUAUGGAGAACGAAUGGAAAGGGUAACACAAUUGAAGUAUUUGGGGCCAUGGUUUAAUGAAAAGCUUACAUGAAGACGUUAUAUUACAUGUAUUGAUACUAAAUGUAAGAAAGUAAUACAUCUUAUGAGGACAAUAGUUGGGCUUGAUUGGGGGGCAGGUAGGCAAUCUUUACUGAAUAUGUAUUGUACUUUGAUGAGAUCGUCCAUAGAUUACGGGUGCUUUGAAUAUGGUUCUGCUGCUUUUACACCGCUGUUGCGCCUUGAUAGGUUGCAAGCAAGGGCACUCAGGAUGUGCGACAGUACAUUUUAGAACUACACCAGUUGAUAUGUCUAGGAUGUCAUACAAUCAACACAUGGCACAAUGCACAUUAUUUAGAGAAGAUUAAGAGAUGGCCCUGGGUUUGGAGGAGGAGGACAUCUAUGGCGACGGAAUGGACAUGGAGGAUGAGGACCGCAUCCCAGAUGAGGAUAAGGAAGAUGAUGAGAGUAGUGCAGUGCAUAUUUUGAAUUGUGAACACAACUUUGUUUGCCCUACAGCAUCUGUAAAAAAAAUGUCUGUUAUAAUAAUGUCUGACAUAUGUUUUAUUCAGUCUGUGAGCCUGAGACUUCCAACAAGGAAAAUAAGUUUGUUCCAGUCCCAACUGAUGAAGCUUUUCCAAGUCUGUUGGGUGUGGUGCAGUUUAGUCCAGGGACUACGUCAACAGCCAGAGGAACAGGACUCAACGUCACACAGAUCUGCAGGUUGUGCAACCAUGUGAGGGAAUGGUCCAACCAGCCAAUCUGCUGCUUUCUGCUGCCAUUUUGGUGUCUGGUUGCAUGCUGAUCAAGGUCCUCAGAAUGCUCGGAAUGAUGAUUGGCCACCAUUCACCGCAACACAUUCUUCCGUCACCAGCAUAAACACCUCUAGCCAGCAGUCCUCAUGGCAUUGGAUGUUGUGCAGAGUGGCAUUGAUGAAACCCUCAAGGAAAUGGGUGGAGAUCUGGUCUUGGCAGCAUAUGGAAGGAGUGAUAGUCCGGGCCACUCUGUGAAGUUUGGGACAUUCACUGCUGUUGAACAGAGAAUCAACAAGAUCCUGAACAUAGAAAUUGUUAAUUGAAGUGUUUUUUUUUAUCUUAGAGCUCUUCGCGCCACGUGGUGUGAGCUGCGGGGGUUGAAGAGGACUAAACAGUUUGUUGACAGUGCUGAGCUGGUGGUUGGAACCCUCAUUACUGACCAAAACAGGCCGAUCUCUAAAUGGAUCUGGAAAAACAUGCCAGAUAGCCUACAAAGCAUCGCUUGGAUAUUUGUCUAAAUACUCUGGUACCUUCAAUGGGGCUGAAGAUUCUACAUGGGGCCUUGAUCCUUAAGGACAUAUCACAACUAUCCACUGACUACCAGACAACAGGUGGAUCGUUCCACUCUGAUGCUGCAAUUCCUGCCAAAGCACACCACCACCUCUUACAAGAGAAUGCAUGCAAGAUUUAUUAAGCCAUUUCAAAAGAAAAAAAAAAUCAAACUACUGAAAUUGACAUUAUUACUGUCAAGUGUAUCAAAGCACAUUCCAUUGUUUGCAUCUCUCAAUUGUCACCAACCUUUCAAAUGUAUCCUGUAUCCCGUCAGAUAAAACCUUGCAUCCUUUCAUUAGGUACUCCCUCUCCUUCGCAAAGGCCAAGAAGAGUGGAUACACAAUUCAGCCAGCGAAGACCAAACCCACCUACGACUAUGCUGAUAAAAUAGUGCUUUGUCUGGAGGAAGAAUCAGAUCGCAGGAUCCUGUAAUAACCUCAACCACUCUGUAGUCAGUUUCAGCGUCCCACGAAGGACCGGGCAGUGGGGGAGUAUAUAAGCCAUUUCAAGGCAGCUGGCACACCAUGAACACCCUUCUUCCCACACUUUAAAAGACAUUUUAGUCAUUUGACACUCUUAUCCGUACCAACUUACAGUAUUGUGUGCAUAGAUUUCACACUUUUUCAUACUGGGAUUUUCAGAAUUCGGACGGAAUGUAGCAGUUGAUACUAGUUGAACAGCAGGUGUGCAAUGUCUUCAUUGAUUUGUCUGGCUUUGUGGAGGGUUCUGGAUUUGUGGAGUGAGGAGAUGCUUUGGCACUUGACACUGCAGACCUUGCUCGCAAUGUUGACUGUUCUGUGAAUUGUCCUGAUGUUGUCACGUUCGUUGAAUGGAUGAGACCAAGGCGCAGCGUGAGAUGAAUACAUAUUCUUAUUUAAUGAAACAAAGAACACUUAAACAAACUUAGGAUAACUGCAGACACAGGCAACUAACACAUAGACAAUAACCCACGAAAUACCCAAGGAAUAUGGCUGCCUAAAUAUGGUUCCCAAUCAGAGAGAACGAUAAACAGCUGCCUCUAAUUGAGAACCAAUCUAGGCAACCAUAGACAUACAUAACACCUAGACUAGUAAACACCAAUAGACAUACAAAACCCCUAGACAGGGCCAAAAACACAUACAUCACCCAUGUCACACCCUGACCUAACCAAAAUAAUAAAGAAAACAAAGAAUACUAAGGUCAGGGCAUGACAGAUGUUCUGUUAUUAACAGUGAACCAUACCAGCCAUAGCAUCCUGUCCUUGUUCUAAUUGUUUUACAAUACUUGAGAAACUUACUAAUUAAUUUUUCCGUCUCUCUUCCUCUAGGAACUUGAAUACUACCUCAGUCUAAUGUCACGCUGCCAUCAACACACCAGCAUCCAGCCCUAAGCUGAUUCCUGUCUGUCUGCUAGGGUAGAGCUGUAACUGUCAUUAGGGUUUUGUUACAGUUGUUCCCUUGUACCCUCUGCCCUUGUUGACUUCCCAUUACUGCGCUGAGAUUGGAUAAGUGUAAGCAGCACUUUGAGCCUGUAAUGAACCUAACUCCUUACCUACACACCCGACCGCGGUCUGUUCAUCAUACAUUGGGCUCCUUCACACUCCUCACACCAAGUGUGUGCUGCUUCCGCCAAGCUUUCAGCGUGAACUCAGUCAUACAUAAAGGACUGUACAGUACCAGUCAAAAGUUUGGACACACCUACUCAUUCCAGGGUUUUUCUUUAUUUUUACUGUUUUCUACAUUGUAGAAUAAUAGUGAAGACAAACUAUAAAAAUAACACAUAUGUAAUCAUGUAGUAACCAAAACAGUGUUAAACAAAUCUAAAUAUAUUUGAGAUGUGAGAUUCUUCAAAGUAGCCACCUUUUGGCUUGAUGACCAAAUAGGGCUAUCUUCUGUUUACAGUACCACCCCUACCUUGUCACAACACUACUGAUUGGCUCCAAUGUAUUAAGAAAGAAAUACAUUCCACAAAUUAACUAUUAAUAAGGCACGCCUGUUAAUUGAAAUGCAUUCCAGGUGACUACCUCAUGAAGCUGGUUGAGAGAAUGCUAAGAGGGUGCAAAGCUGUCAUCAAGGCAAAGGGUGGCUACUUUGAAGAAUCUCACAUCUCAAAUACUUUUUGAUUUGUUUAAGUAGGCGUUUCCAAACUUUUGACUCGUACUGUAUAUACAAUUAUUUAUUGUAUUUCUAAAUGUUAUUGUUAAAUAUCACUGUUAUGGGGACUGUGACCACAAAGUGGAAUGCGAUAAAAUAAGACCCAUGACAAAAGCGAUGUAUUGGUAUAACAUAUUUUUACAACUGUUAAU